UUUCCGUAGGUGAACCUGCGGAAGGAUCAUUACUGAGUGAGGGCCCCUCGGGGUCCAACCUCCCACCCGUGUUUAACGAACCUUGUUGCUUCGGCGGGCCUGCCUCACGGCCGCCGGGGGGCAUUUGCCCCCGGGCCCGCGCCCGCCGAAGCCACCUGUGAACGCUGUCUGAAGUAUGCAGUCUGAGACAAUUAUUAAAUUAAUUAAAACUUUCAACAACGGAUCUCUUGGUUCCG
rnacentral:misc_RNA from 1 species